CGAACGUUAUCUUAUAGGAAAUUACAGUUAUUUAAAAAUAAUACAUUUUUAUGUUUUCAAAAUUCAAUUAUCAUUUCAUUAGUAUCGUUACAACAAUCGAUGGCGUAGGUUGUACACUUGUACCAAACUGUAUAAAAUUCUAAUAUUUUAAGAAAGUACUUAAAAAAUGUAGAAAAAAACACUCAUUGACCCUAUCAAGUAGUUAUUCAACUAACGUUGAAACCAUAACUUGUUGAAAUAAUGCUUCAAUUUCAAACUUCGAGGGUAUUCUGAUGGCAAAGCGAAAAUCCUUGGUGCAUUAUAGAGGUCAAAAGUGAGAAUUUUUCAAUAGUUAUAAAAAAAAAAUCAAGUAAUUUUGUAGUUGAAAAUUCAUAAAUUUUUUUAUAUUUUAUAUCUAAGGUUAAAAAAUUCAACACUAAGUUUUUCAUAAGUUUUCUUUAAAAUAGUUAUAGAGAAAACUCGACUCAUUAUAGGAAAAAUAGUUUGAGCGUUUGAGUUUUAAAUUUUUUUGAAAUCGAAGAACGAUAACGAUUUAUCUUCAAAUGAUUUUUAAUAUUAGUUAUUAUUCAAAAAGUAUAAGUAGUGGACACUGAAAAUUUCAUCGGUUCUUUAGAUAGACAUUUUCUUUACAUAAUUUAAAUUAAAUAAUAUUUCGCUUAUUUUAUGGCUAUUUAUAGGCAUUUUAAAUAUUCGUUUUUGUUUAGUUUUAUUUCUAUAAAUAUCGAUAAAAUUUUUUUGGCUAUGUUAAAAUACUUGAAAAUUUAAUUAAAAGAUCCUUAUAAGGUAGUCUUAUAGUGAUUAAAAAAUAAUGAGAAUACAUAGGUGCAAUUUUUUUUUUUUUUGUUUGAAGUUAAAAUAUUGACAAAAAUUCGUCAAAAUCAUGAAUACUUGCAAAUUAUUUUGUAGUUAUAAUUCAUAAAAAUGUUUGUAUAAGUAACAAAAAGUUGACAAUUAAAUACGAGAUUUUCCAUUAAGUUUAGCUUACAACAACACCUUGUUCACCACCCACUGU